AUUGAACGCUGGCGGCAGGCCUAACACAUGCAAGUCGAGCGGAGCGGCGGACGGGUGCGUAAUGCCUAGGAAUCUGCCUGUUAGUGGGGGAUAACGUCCGGAAACGGGCGCUAAUACCGCAUACUCUCAGCUGAGCCUAGGUCGGCUUAGCUAGUUGGUGGGGUAAAGGCCUACCAAGGCGCCGCUCCGUAACUGGGCUGAGCGGAUGAUCAGGCACACUGGAAAUGGGACACGGGCCAGACUCCUAAGGGAGGCAGGAGUGGGGAAAAUUGGACAAAGGGCGAAAGGCUGAUCCAGCCAUGCCGCGUGUGUGAAGAAGGGCGUCGGAUUGUAAAGCACUUUAAGUUGGGAGGCGUUACCAACAGAAUAAGCACCGGCUAACUUCGUGCCAGCAGCCGCGGUAAUAC
rnacentral:rRNA from 1 species